GUAAACGGCGGCCGUAACUAUAACGGUCCUAAGGUAGCGAAAUUCCUUGUCGGGUAAGUUCCGACCUGCACGAAUGGCGUAAUGAUGGCCAGGCUGUCUCCACCCGAGACUCAGUGAAAUUGAACUCGCUGUGAAGAUGCAGUGUACCCGCGGCAAGACGGAAAGACCCCGUGAACCUUUACUAUAGCUUGACACUGAACAUUGAGCCUUGAUGUGUAGGAUAGGUGGGAGGCUUUGAAGUGUGGACGCCAGUCUGCAUGGAGCCGACCUUGAAAUACCACCCUUUAAUGUUUGAUGUUCUAACGUGGACCCGUAAUCCGGGUUGCGGACAGUGUCUGGUGGGUAGUUUGACUGGGGCGGUCUCCUCCUAAAGAGUAACGGAGGAGCACGAAGGUUGGCUAAUCCUGGUCGGACAUCAGGAGGUUAGUGCAAUGGCAUAAGCCAGCUUGACUGCGAGCGUGACGGCGCGAGCAGGUGCGAAAGCAGGUCAUAGUGAUCCGGUGGUUCUGAAUGGAAGGGCCAUCGCUCAACGGAUAAAAGGUACUCCGGGGAUAACAGGCUGAUACCGCCCGAGAGUUCAUAUCGACGGCGGUGUUUGGCACCUCGAUGUCGGCUCAUCACAUCCUGGGGCUGAAGU
rnacentral:rRNA from 1 species